rnacentral:rRNA from 1 species
GACGAACGCUGGCGGCGUGCCUAAUACAUGCAAGUCGAGCGAAGUUUUUCUGGUGCUUGCACUAGAAAAACUUAGCGGCGAACGGGUGAGUAACACGUAAAGAACCUGCCUCAUAGACUGGGACAACUAUUGGAAACGAUAGCUAAUACCGGAUAACAGUAUUUCUCGCAUGGGAGAAAUUUAAAAGUUGGUUAUGCUAACACUAUGAGAUGGCUUUGCGGUGCAUUAGCUAGUUGGUGGGGUAAAGGCCCACCAAGGCGACGAUGCAUAGCCGACCUGAGAGGGUGAUCGGCCACACUGGGACUGAGACACGGCCCAGACUCCUACGGGAGGCAGCAGUAGGGAAUCUUCCGCAAUGGGCGAAAGCCUGACGGAGCAACGCCGCGUGAGUGAAGAAGGAUUUCGGUUCGUAAAGCUCUGUUGUUAGGGAAGAAUGGAUAUGUAGUAACUAUACAUGUAAGAGACGGUACCUAACCAGAAAGCCACGGCUAACUACGUG